rnacentral:rRNA from 1 species
GCUGCCAAGCAGUGGGGAAUAACAGCUGGAAACGGCUGCUAAUACCGCAUACGCCCCUUAGGGGGGAAAGAUUAAUCGCUGUUUGAGGGUCCUGCGUUCGAUUAGCUAGUUGGUGUGGUAACGGCGCACCAAGGCUUCGAUCGAUAGCUGGUCUGAGAGGAUGAUCAGCCACACUGGGACUGAGACACGGCCCAGACUCCUACGGGAGGCAGCAGUGGGGAAUAUUGGACAAUGGGGGAAACCCUGAUCCAGCAAUGCCGCGUGCGUGAAGAAGGCCCUAGGGUUGUAAAGCGCUUUCACCUGCGAGGAUGAUGACCGUAGCAGGAGAAGAAGCCCCGGCUAACUCCGUGCCAGCAGCCGCGGUAAUACGGAGGGGGCUAGCGUUGUUCGGAAUUACUGGGCGUAAAGGGCGUGUAGGCGGCGGAACCAGUCAGGCGUGAAAGCCCCGGGCUCAACCUGGGAGGUGCGCUUGAUACUGUUCUGCUAGAGUCCGGGAGAGGCGAGUGGAAUAUCCAGUGUAGAGGUGAAAUUCGUAGAUAUUGGAUGGAACACCAGUGGCGAAGGCGGCUCGCUGGACCGGAACUGACGCUGAGGCGCGAAAGCGUGGGGAGCAAACAGGAUUAGAUACC